rnacentral:rRNA from 1 species
GAGGGACGCUGGCGGCGUGCCUAAUACAUGCAAGUCGAGCGAACGGACGAGAAGCUUGCUUCUCUGAUGUUAGCGGCGGACGGGUGAGUAACACGUGGAUAACCUACCUAUAAGACUGGGAUAACUUCGGGAAACCGGAGCUAAUACCGGAUGAUAUUUUGAACCGCAUGGUUCAAAAGUGAAAGACGGUCUUGCUGUCACUUAUAGAUGGAUCCGCGCUGCAUUAGCUAGUUGGUAAGGUAACGGCUUACCAAGGAAACGAUGCAUAGCCGACCUGAGAGGGUGAUCGGCCACACUGGAACUGAGACGCGGUCCAGACUCCUACGGGAGGCAGCAGUAGGGAAUCUUCCGCAAUGGGCGAAAGCCUGACGGAGCAACGCCGCGUGAGUGAUGAAGGUCUUCGGAUCGUAAAACUCUGUUAUUAGGGAAGAACAUAUGUGUAAGUAACUGUGCACAUCUUGACGGUACCUAAUCAGAAAGCCACGGCUAACUACGUG